rnacentral:rRNA from 1 species
AAUCUUACCGGGUCCGGACACACUGAGGAUUGACAGGCGAUAUAACGAAUCUUAUUUCUUAAUAAGAUAUUCGUUAUUCAAAUAUGCUAGUCCUUUCAUGAUUAUGUGGUAGGUGGUGCAUGGCCGUUCUUAGUUCGUGGAGUGAUCUGUCUGCUUAAUUGCGUUUCACUAAGGUCCCAUAUACUAAAGGCAUGUCGACCUCUCUUUAGGCUUAAUUAAGGCUUGGACCCCUCUUUUAUUAAGAGCGAGUGUCUAAUGUCUUAUUAUCCUUUAUAUAAGAUAGUGUCGUAUGCUGUUGGGAUCUGAAAGCAACGAACGUGACCGCAACGUCUUGUUGCCUUACCUAUACUGGUAUUAUACUUAAUACC